GACGAACGCUGGCGGCGUGCCUAAUACAUGCAAGUUGAGCGCUGAAGGUUGGUACUGUACCAACUGGAUGAGCAGCGAACGGGUGAGUAACGCGUGGGGAAUCUGCCUUUGAGCGGGGGACAACAUUUGGAAACGAAUGCUAAUACCGCAUAAAAACUUUAAACACAAGUUUUAAGUUUGAAAGAUGCCAUUGCAUCACUCAAAGAUGAUCCCGCGUUGUAUUAGCUAGUUGGUGAGGUAAAGGCUCACCAAGGCGAUGAUACAUAGCCGACCUGAGAGGGUGAUCGGCCACAUUGGGACUGAGACACGGCCCAAACUCCUACGGGAGGCAGCAGUAGGGAAUCUUCGGCAAUGGACGAAAGUCUGACCGAGCAACGCCGCGUGAGUGAAGAAGGGUUUCGGAUCGUAAAACUCUGUUGGUAGAGAAGAACGUUGGUGAGAGUGGAAAGCUCAUCAAGUGACGGUAACUACCCAGAAAGGGACGGCUAACUACGUG
rnacentral:rRNA from 1 species